rnacentral:siRNA from 1 species
UAGCCCUCCUCUUAGGAUGUC